rnacentral:lncRNA from 1 species
GAAUUCUCUCUCUUAGAGAGAUAAAUAAGAGAGAGGGAGAACUAGAGAAAGAGGGGUGGCCGGUGGCGGCGUUUGGCGGCGAUUUGCGAUGGCUAGUGGUGGCCGGAGGUGGUCGGACUUGUGAGAUUCAACCUGGAACCAAUUAUCGAUGCUACGAACGCAAUGCAUGAAAGGAUAGGAAUCACAUUAGCAUGGACUCAAGCGUGGAAGGCUACGGGUCAAGAAGAGGCAAGGAAACAAACAUGAAUACGGACGCUUGAGGUAAGUGAUUACCGAACUCACUUAUUAAUUUAUUUAAAUGAAGUUAGAUAUGCGUAUUAUUGGGAAUCAUAAAAGGAUGAUAAUGUAGUAGUCGUAUGAAGGUAAGAAUGACGGAAUUUGAUCAUAUGUAGUUAAUUAUGUUUGAAAUCAUAUAGAAUAAGCAAAUGGGUCACAAAUACGAAAGUGAUUAACCAAGGUGUGAAAAUUGGAUGUUGGGAAAUGAGAAUUAGAAUAGGAAUGAUUUGGGGACUUAAGAAAAUUUCAAUUCAUGUUUCGGGACGGGGUGCGCGAAAAGGGGGUCGAAACGCUCAAAGAAACGAAAUUCGGUGUCGGACAUGCAGGUCGCGUCGCUGACGCCCCUGCAAGCCGUCGCCGAUACCAUGCCCUUUUUUAACUAACGACUUAAGUUGCUGUCUACGUGGGUCCGAUGCCGGAAACUAGUUUUUCUCGUUUUUCUUUGUUUCCAAGGCCCCGUUAAACUUCCUAAAGGUACCCCAAGCCUACGAUAGAGUUUUGCGGGGUAGAAGUAAGGACGGAACCCGUACGGGAGCUUGCGCGAAUAUGUAGCAUGUAUGUUGGUGUGUGUAAAUGUGGAUUUCAUUAUGUGUGUGAGUGAUUCUCGUAGGAAUGAUUAUACUUGGAUAUAACAUACGUGUGAAUGGACGGAACUAGUACAUAAGCAUGUUUAUAUACGGAAAAUGGUAUGCCUAACAAAGUAUGGUGCUUGAAAGAAAUUAAAUGGAUGUUAUUGUAUGUGUGCAUAUAAAUAAGAAUUCAUUGUAAGUGUAUGUAGUACGAAUUUAUAGGUGUAUACGUGUGUAUGGGAGACGUAAGUAUGUGCUCGGAUAUAUGUACGUGUACGUAUGUGAUGUAAUCUAAUGAAUGUAGGUUAAUAGAAUGUGUUUAUGUGAAGUUGUGGGUUUUCAAUAUGUUUAAAGGUACACGUUGCUAAUCAUGUCAUUGUUGAGAAUGAAAUGAAAAGUGCAGGUAUGAUAACGUUGGGUCCAAGUGAGUUGAUGUCGGGAACUAGUGGAUGUGUUUGGAAGGAUGAUCGAACAAGAUAUCUUGCGUCGUUAGAAUGCAAUAUGGUCAUUUAGCUAUGUGUUUAUAAUAUAAGUAUAAUGUCACCAUUUACUAAUGUAUUAGUUGUUUAUGGUGACCGCAGGUUACACGGAUCGUUACCAUUUAUCAUGAAGGACAAGGGGGCAAAGAUCGAGUCAUAGAACAUGGAUUGUAUGAAAGGGUGGUCACUUAGUUUGCAUUCGCAUGUUAUAGUUGGUACAUUAAUUAAAGAUGAAUGAUGUAAUUCUUUUAAAGGAAUCGUUUUAAAUGGUUUUCAAGUAUGUUAGAAUAUUUAA